rnacentral:rRNA from 1 species
CCUACGGGAGGCAGCAGUGGGGAAUAUUGGACAAUGGGGGCAACCCUGAUCCAGCCAUGCCGCGUGUGUGAAGAAGGCCCUCGGUUUGUAAAGCACUUUCAGUGAGGAAGAACGCCUGGUGGUUAAUACCCAUCAGGAAAGACAUCACUCACAGAAGAAGCACCGGCUAACUCCGUGCCAGCAGCCGCGGUAAUACGGAGGGUGCGAGCGUUAAUCGGAAUUACUGGGCGUAAAGCGCGCGUAGGUGGCUUGAUAAGCCGGUUGUGAAAGCCCCGGGCUCAACCUGGGAACGGCAUCCGGAACUGUCAAGCUAGAGUGCAGGAGAGGAAGGUAGAAUUCCCGGUGUAGCGGUGAAAUGCGUAGAGAUCGGGAGGAAUACCAGUGGCGAAGGCGGCCUUCUGGACUGACACUGACACUGAGGUGCGAAAGCGUGGGUAGCAAACAGGAUUAGAUACCCUGGUAGUC